CGCGCGGCCGGGAGGGAGCGGCGGCGGUGAGUGCGCGGGGAGUGCGCGGGGAGUGCGCGGGGGGUGCGCGCGGCCGCCUCGGGACCCCCGUGGAGCUCCCCCCCGCCCCGUAACAUCCCCCCGGGACCCCAGGGGACUCCUUCCCCAGGCUCCGCCCCGGCGGCAGCCGCCGAGCGCCUCAGCGCCGCGGGAGCGGCCGCUGCGGCUUCCCCAGGACGGUCAGGCCGGAGGCCGCGCGGUGAGGCCGCCCGGUAGCGUGAAUCACGUCCGGCCCUGGGCGAACGCGCCGGAGCGGGGCGGCCCCACCGCCGCGGGGCCGACGAGGAGAAGGGGUGCACCAGCUGCCGGUGACUGCAGAGUGCCGCAGCGGAGCGGGGUAAGGCCCCUCGGCCCCAGACGGUGGGAGCGGCUCCGGAACGCAGCUGGAUGGGAGGAUCCCCCCGCUGAACCCCUCCGGAGGCUCCGCACGGAGCUCGGCGGGUGCCGAUCCUGCGGUGUUGGUGAAGGCUCUGGGAAGUCACCGAGGAGAAGCGCCUGAAUGUGCCCGUACUUAGUAAAAACAUUAGUAGAGACGAUAUAUCAAAUCGUUCUUGCUUCAAUCCUGUGUCUUUCGUUCAUCUUGAAAUGCCAAGGGAUUCAGCUCAAGAGCUGUCCUCCCUGUGCCCUGCACACACUUUGUGCCCCCAAACCACAGCCCGAACCCAGAAGCCCUGAAGGCCAGGAGUACUUUGCUGAACACUUGAGUUGUGCCGUGGAAUAACACACCCCACUUUCCUUCUGAAAUGGACACUGAAACAGGAUGGCUGCAUCUCCCAUGUCUUGGAUAAUAGGAAUCUGAACUAAAGAUC